rnacentral:rRNA from 1 species
ACGCUAGCGGGAGGCCUAACACAUGCAAGCCGAGCGGUAUUUGUCUUUCGGGACAGAGAGAGCGGCGUACGGGUGCGGAACACGUGUGCAACCUACCUUUAUCAGGGGGAUAGCCUUUCGAAAGGAAGAUUAAUACCCCAUAAUAUAUUGAUUGGCAUCAGUUAAUAUUGAAAACUCCGGUGGAUAGAGAUGGGCACGCGCAAGAUUAGAUAGUUGGUAGGGUAACGGCCUACCAAGUCAGUGAUCUUUAGGGGGCCUGAGAGGGUGAUCCCCCACACUGGUACUGAGACACGGACCAGACUCCUACGGGAGGCAGCAGUGAGGAAUAUUGGACAAUGGGUGAGAGCCUGAUCCAGCCAUCCCGCGUGAAGGACGACGGCCCUAUGGGUUGUAAACUUCUUUUGUAUAGGGAUAAACCUUUCCACGUGUGGAAAGCUGAAGGUACUAUACGAAUAAGCACCGGCUAACUCCGUGCCAGCAGCCGCGGUAAUACGGAGGGUGCAAGCGUUAUCCGGAUUUAUUGGGUUUAAAGGGUCCGUAGGCGGAUCUGUAAGUCAGUGGUGAAAUCUCAUAGCUUAACUAUGAAACUGCCAUUGAUACUGCAGGUCUUGAGUAAAGUAGAAGUGGCUGGAAUAAGUAGUGUAGCGGUGAAAUGCAUAGAUAUUACUUAGAACACCAAUUGCGAAGGCAGGUCACUAUGUUUUAACUGACGCUGAUGGACGAAAGCGUGGGGAGCGAAAC